CCUACGGGAGGCAGCAGUGAGGAAUAUUGGUCAAUGGGCGCGAGCCUGAACCAGCCAAGUAGCGUGAAGGAUGACUGCCCUACGGGUUGUAAACUUCUUUUAUAAAGGAGUAAAGUGAGGCACGUGUGCCGUUUUGUGUGUACUUUAUGAAUAAGCAUCGGCUAACUCCGUGCCAGCAGCCGCGGUAAUACGGAGGAUCCGAGCGUUAUCCGGAUUUAUUGGGUUUAAAGGGUGCGGAGAUGGGUUGUUAAGUCAGUUGUGAAAGUUUGAGGCUCAACCGUGUAAGUGCAUUUGAUACUGGGAGUCUUGAGUACAGGUGAGGUAGGCGGAAUUCGUGGUGUAGCGGGGAAAUGCAUAGAUAUCACGCAGAACCCCGAUUGCGAAGGCAGCUUA
rnacentral:rRNA from 1 species